UACGGGGGGCAGCAGUGGGGAAUUUUGGACAAUGGGGGCAACCCUGAUCCAGCAAUGCCGCGUGUGUGAAGAAGGCCUUCGGGUUGUAAAGCACUUUUGUCCGGAAAGAAAACGCCGUGGUUAAUACCCGUGGCGGAUGACGGUACCGGAAGAAUAAGCACCGGCUAACUACGUGCCAGCAGCCGCGGUAA
rnacentral:rRNA from 1 species